AUUGAGCGCUGGCGGCAGGCCUAACACAUGCAAGUCGAGCGGAGCGAGGGUGCUUGCACCUUAGCUUAGCGGCGGACGGGUGAGUAAUGCUUAGGAAUCUGCCUAUUAGUGGGGGACAACAUUCCGAAAGGGAUGCUAAUACCGCAUACGCCCUAUGGGGGAAAGCAGGGGAUCACUUGUGACCUCGCGCUACUAGAUGAGCCUAAGUCGGAUUAGCUAGUUGGUGGGGUAAAAGCCUACCAAGGCGACGAUCUGUAGCGGGUCUGAGAGGAUGAUCCGCCACACUGGGACUGAGACACGGCCCAGACUCCUACGGGAGGCAGCAGUGGGGAAUAUUGGACAAUGGGGGGAACCCUGAUCCAGCCAUGCCGCGUGUGUGAAGAAGGCCUUUUGGUUGUAAAGCACUUUAAGCGAGGAGGAGGCGCUCUAGGAUAAUACCCUAGAUGCGUGGACGUUACUCGCAGAAUAAGCACCGGCUAACUCUGUGCCAGCAGCCGCCGUAACAC
rnacentral:rRNA from 1 species